UGAAGGCAUCUAAGCACGAAGCCCCCCUUAAGAUAAGAUAUCUCAUUCGAAAGAAGUAAGGCCUCUGGAAGACGACCAGGUAGAUAGGCUGGAGGUGGAAGUGCAGCAAUGUAUGGAGCUGACCAGUACUAAUCGGCCGAGGUCUUGAUCUAA
rnacentral:rRNA from 1 species